CUUCCGGGCGGCCAUCUCCCUCCACUUGAGCGCGCUCUCCGCGGCGCCCGCGGUAGCGCCCCCUCGGCGCGCCGCGGACGGGAACCCGCACACCGUCAGCCUCUCCGCCAGCUCCUCCCCGGCGCCCGGAGCCGGGGACCGCAGCCGCACCGCGGCCGACUCGGCGAGGAGGUUGACCGCCGCGUUCUCCACCCGCGCGUCCGCGGCGAGGAUCGACCGCACCCGCGCCGCGCAGCCGCCGCACAUCAUGCCGCUGACGUCGAGCAGCACGGUCGCGCUGGUCCCCUCCUCCGCCGCGGGGGCCACGUCGAGGGCGGUCGAGGCGGAGGGGUCGGCCGCGGCACGGGGCGUGCCCGCUAAAAGCUCGCGCGGGAUGAGGCGGAGGCGCUGCUGGGAGGCGGGAGCGGAGCGGCGGCUGCGCGGCAGGCGGAGGCGCCGCGCGAAGAGGAGAUGACUGGCGUUGGGAAUUUGAGCGCGCACGUGGAGGAGGGGAGAGGCAGGAGCGGUGGCCAUGGCGGCCAUCCGGAGGUCUCGCCCGGAUGAGAGCCUCGGGUGCCCGGCCGCCCCGCCUAGGGUUUGGAGCCGUGGAGGAGGAGACGGGAGGAGGAGGUGGUGGUGGCCAUGGAGGAACGGGCCGAGUCGACGACGAGUAGGUGGUGGGUGGGAAAUGGAGUUACGGAAGAGUGGCCGUGGUGAAGUGGAGAGGGGUGGCGACGUGGACCGCUCGGAGGAGGAGGUCGCCAAUCUGCCAUCGUGGAUGGAUUUGGAUUUUCU
rnacentral:lncRNA from 1 species